AACGAACGCUGGCGGCAUGCCUAACACAUGCAAGUCGAACGAGACCUUCGGGUCUAGUGGCGCACGGGUGCGUAACGCGUGGGAACCUGCCCUUAGGUUCGGAAUAACUCCCCGAAAGGGGUGCUAAUACCGGAUAAUGUCUUCGGACCAAAGAUUUAUCGCCUUUGGAUGGGCCCGCGUUGGAUUAGCUAGUUGGUAGGGUAAAAGCCUACCAAGGCGUCAAUCCAUAGCUGGGCUGAGAGGCAGAUCAGCCACACUGGGACUGAGACACGGCCCAGACUCCUACGGGAUGCAGGAAUGGGGGAUAGUGGAACAUGGGGGGAAUGAUGAACCUGCUAGGCCGGGUGAGUGAUGAAAGCCUUGAGGUUGUAAAGCUCUUUUAACCAGGAUGGUAAUGACGGUACCGGGAGAAUAAGCUCCGGCUAACUCCGUG
rnacentral:rRNA from 1 species